AUUGAACGCUGGCGGCAGGCUUAACACAUGCAAGUCGAGCGGGGUGAUGGUGCUUGCACUAUCACUUAGCGGCGGACGGGUGAGUAAUGCUUAGGAAUCUGCCUAUUAGUGGGGGACAACAUCUCGAAAGGGACGCUAAUACCGCAUACGUCCUACGGGAGAAAGCAGGGGAUCACUUGUGACCUUGCGCUAAUAGAUGAGCCUAAGUCGGAUUAGCUAGUUGGUGGGGUAAAGGCCUACCAAGGCGACGAUCUGUAGCGGGUCUGAGAGGAUGAUCCGCCACACUGGGACUGGGACACGGCCCAGACUCCUACGGGAGGCAGCAGUGGGGAAUAUUGGACAAUGGGGGGAACCCUGAUCUAGCCACGCCGCGUGUGUGAAGAAGGCCUUAUGGUUGUAAAGCACUUUAAGCGAGGAGGAGGCUCUUUUGGUUAAUACCCAAGAUGAGUGGGCGUUACUCGCAGAAUAAGCACCGGCUAACUCUGUGCCAGCAGCCGCCGUAA
rnacentral:rRNA from 1 species